rnacentral:rRNA from 1 species
AAACGCUGGCGGCGUGUCUUAAGCAUGCAAGUCNAGCGGCAGGCGCAGCAAUGCGCUGAGAGCGGCGGACUGGUGAGUAACGCGUGGGUAAUCUACCUUUGGCAUGGGGAUAGCCACUAGAAAUAGUGGGUAAUACCGAAUACGUUCCCUGGGGGGAGGUUUCAGGGAAGAAAGGGUGCUACGGCACCGGCCGGAGAUGAGCUCGCGUCCCAUUAGCUAGUUGGUGAGGUAACGGCCCACCAAGGCGAUGAUGGGUAGCCGGCCUGAGAGGGUGUACGGCCACACUGGGACUGAGAUACGGCCCAGACUCCUACGGGAGGCAGCAGCUAAGAAUAUUCCGCAAUGGACGAAAGUCUGACGGAGCGACGCCGCGUGGAUGAUGAAGGCCGAAAGGUUGUAAAGUCCUUUUGCUGGGGAAGAAUAAGUGUGGGAGGGAAUGCCCGCAUGAUGACAUGAACCGGCGAAUAAGCCCCGGCCAACUACGUGCCAGCAGCCGCGGUAACACGUAGGGGGCGAGCGUUGUUCGGAAUUACUGGGCGUAAAGGGCAUGUAGGCGGUCUGGUAAGCCUGGCGUGAAAGGCCACAGCUCAACUGUGGGAUUGCGUUGGGAACUGCUGGGCUUGAGUUAUGGAGAGGGAGCUAGAAUUCCUGGUGUAGGGGUG